rnacentral:misc_RNA from 1 species
AAGUCGUAACAAGGUUUCCGUGGGUGAACCUGCGGAAGGAUCAUUAAAGAUUCGACCUUCGGGUCUAUCUUAUCUUCAGCUGUGCGCUUUUGCUGCACGCUGUUGAACUUCACACACCUGUGCACACUUCGGUUGCGGUUGGUUAACUCUAGCUGCUUCCGCUUUUACAUUUAACUACUAAGUCUUGAAUGUCAAAUACAAUAAAAAUAACAA